rnacentral:rRNA from 1 species
CCUACGGGAGGCUGCAGUGAGGAAUAUUGGUCAAUGGACGAGAGUCUGAACCAGCCAAGCCGCGUGAAGGAUGACUGCCCUAUGGGUUGUAAACUUCUUUUAUAAAGGAAUAAAACGAGGCACGUGUGCCUUUUUGCAUGUACUUUAUGAAUAAGGAUCGGCUAACUCCGUGCCAGCAGCCGCGGUAAUACGGAGGAUCCGAGCGUUAUCCGGAUUUAUUGGGUUUAAAGGGAGCGUAGAUGGGUUGUUAAGUCAGUUGUGAAAGUUUGCGGCUCAACCGUAAAAUUGCAAUUGAUACUGGCAGUCUUGAGUGCAGUUGAGGUAGGCGGAAUGCGUGGUGUAGCGGUGAAAUGCUUAGAUAUCACGAAGAACCCCGAUUGCGAAGGCAGCUUACUAAACUGUGACUGACAUUGAGGCACGAAAGUGUGGGGAUCAAACAGGAUUAGAUACCCCAGUAGUC